UAUGUGUAUAUAUAUAUAUGUCUGUAUGUGUGUGUAUGUAUAUAUAUGUAUGUAUAUGUUAAUAUUUUAUUGAAACUAUUGAUGUCCCUCUUUGCAGAACUCAAACUAACUGGAGUUAAGGACACACAAGCCUGCUUGUGUGAGGAGGAGGUUUUCUCAGCUUCUUUGGAAGAGAGGGAAAGAUCAUUUAAGAUGUUAAAAGCAAGAGACAUGGGAGAGCAUCAUUCCUUUGAGAUUUUAUGUAAGUUAUUUUUAGAAAAUAAAUGUUUCUGUUGUCUCCUGCCGGUUUACUUCACAUUUUGAUGCAACAACAGUGUGAUUACGUGCUCAUUUCAUUAAGACCAUUGAUGUCUGUGUUUUUUAUUGCAGAAAUCAAACCAAGUUUGGAGUUGUCUGAUUUGGAGAGUCAUCAUUCUUGGUCUUCGCUCUUAGAGGUAAAGUUCACACAAAAAAUAAUUUACUUGCCCUCAAGUCAUUCCAAACCUAUAAGACUUUUGUCUGUCUUUACAACAUAAAUUAAUAUAUUUUUAGUUUUCUCAUAAUAUUUGUUAAUCCAUUUAUAGUUUAGAUAAUCAGUAUUUUCAAGCUUCAUAAAUAUAGAGUUAUUGUAGAAGUAAAUUCUGAUAUUUAUAUAUGAAUACAUCUUAAAUUAUAUGAUAGCAAACAUGUAUGUUCAAAAUAAAAUGCUGGUCUCCCAGACCAGCAAUGGAGGACACAAAAAGAGAAUAUUAAAUAUAUUCAUAUUUUUUCCAAAAAAUGAGCAGAGUUUGUAUGAGUCUGGAAAAACAUGGGGAGAGUAAAUUAUGAACAUUUUAAUUAUUUGGUGAACUAACGGUUUGAAGAGCAGCCCUCCAUGUACAUGAAUAUUGUGAGGUAUGUGAAUGUCAUGUCUGUUUUAAUGUUUCAGUAAAGAAGCUUUCAGAAAGCGAUAUUUAUUCAAACAAUAUCACCUGACCUCACACUAGUGCUGCCAUUAUAGACUUCAUGAGAGCUGUGAUAGACAGACAUUAAACAACCACACAAAGUGUUGAAACUUUAACCGAUUAUUUACCUAUCCUUACGGAUGUGAAUACACCUCUACCUGAAAAUCGAUAGUUUUAUUAAAUGUUUAAUUUUUUCAAAUGUGUUUCUCUUAGGCCACUGAUGAAGAACAGGCGGUGACUGGGAUGAAUCCUGGUCAGAGAGGAGAAUCUUCUUUCCCCUAAACUGAUGCAGCGGUGGUUUUAAAGGAGGACGCUGCCCUGGAUGAUGUAGAAGAUGUCACAUGCUGUGCUGAUGGGGUUUCUUCAUGACUACAUCAGUUAUGCUAAAGAGAUCAUGAAAAUUGACCGUGAUGCAUGAUCUGUAUUCAUGGACUAUGAAACAAACUGUAAGUGUAUAAUUUGUUAAAAAAAAAAAAAGUUAAAUGCUUUUUCUGUGUUGUUUAGUAGAAGAGUUUACACUCUGUCAUUCAUACACCUGCUCACAUUCUUUCACACACACACACGCGUCUGUUAAAUGUUAUAAUAUCAAAGUUAAUGUUGUGAUUUAUUUGUGUACUGUCGUGCCAGAAUAGUUGGAAAAAAACCUAAUUCAGUUAUAUUCAUCAAAUGUUCAAUGCUUUGUUUAUGAACUCUGUAGCUGUUAAUGCAAUCCUUUUCUGCAUUUCUUCUAACAUGUUACUUUUUGACUUUUCUCUUGUUUUUAAUAAAUAUUUUCCUUUUGAUAAUUAUUAUUUGUGUGUAAAAGUGAUAUUUAAAAUGAACAACAUUUGUAGGUUUAAUGCCUAGCUCAAUUUGGGUUAAUUUUAACGUAGAAAUGCAUCGUUUCCCCACAUGGCUGCACUCUGCGAGUUUAUUUUCUGCCAGCAGGAGGCGCUAAGAGCGGGAGAGGUAGGUUUCUCUGGUAACGGCUGCAGAGCGGUGCUGAGCUCACAAACGCUGCCUUAUCAAGCACAUGCGAAAUGAUAUCGAACAUUUUCUAAAUACAGUAGUUUUCCUUCUGAAAUACAGUGAUAAAAAACACCCGCUCUGGUUUUUGAAACCCUGCAAUAUAG
ensembl:lncRNA